rnacentral:rRNA from 1 species
UUAGUGGCGAACGGGUGAGUAACACGUGGGCAAUCUGCCCUUCACUCUGGGACAAGCCCUGGAAACGGGGUCUAAUACCGGAUAAUACUCUGUUCCGCAUGGGACGGGGUUGAAAGCUCCGGCGGUGAAGGAUGAGCCCGCGGCCUAUCAGCUUGUUGGUGGGGUAAUGGCCUACCAAGGCGACGACGGGUAGCCGGCCUGAGAGGGCGACCGGCCACACUGGGACUGAGACACGGCCCAGACUCCUACGGGAGGCAGCAGUGGGGAAUAUUGCACAAUGGGCGAAAGCCUGAUGCAGCGACGCCGCGUGAGGGAUGACGGCCUUCGGGUUGUAAACCUCUUUCAGCAGGGAAGAAGCGCAAGUGACGGUACCUGCAGAAGAAGCGCCGGCUAACUACGUGCCAGCAGCCGCGGUAAUACGUAGGGCGCAAGCGUUGUCCGGAAUUAUUGGGCGUAAAGAGCUCGUAGGCGGCUUGUCACGUCGGAUGUGAAAGCCCGGGGCUUAACCCCGGGUCUGCAUUCGAUACGGGCUAGCUAGAGUGUGGUAGGGGAGAUCGGAAUUCCUGGUGUAGCGGUGAAAUGCGCAGAUAUCAGGAGGAACACCGGUGGCGAAGGCGGAUCUCUGGGCCAUUACUGACGCUGAGGAGCGAAAGCGUGGGGAGCGAACAGGAUUAGAUACCCUGGUAGUCCACGCCGUAAACGUUGGGAACUAGGUGUUGGCGACAUUCCACGUCGUCGGUGCCGCAGCUAACGCAUUAAGUUCCCCGCCUGGGGAGUACGGCCGCAAGGCUAAAACUCAAAGGAAUUGACGG